CGGACGAUGACAUUAGCUGCAGAAUAAGCACCGGCUAACUCUGUGCCAGCAGCCGCGGUAAUACAGAGGGGGCAAGCGUUGUUCGGAAUUACUGGGCGUAAAGGGCGCGUAGGCGGUAAGCAUAGUCAGGUGUGAAAUCCCCGGGCUCAACCCGGGAACUGCAUUUGAUACUGGCUAACUAGAGUUCGGAAGAGGAGAGUGGAAUUCCCAGUGUAGAGGUGAA
rnacentral:rRNA from 1 species